rnacentral:misc_RNA from 1 species
AGAAAGCAAAAACUACUUACAUCGCAUUUUGAAGUCUGUACAAAAGAGCAGCAAGAAUUUGAAGUCAUAGGUGGCUGUAUUGCUCUACUCCAUAUUCUUCAAAAACUUUACUCUCCAGCAACAUAAUUGCUUUCGUUGCCUUCAGCACUUCUUAUAUCCCAUCCCACAAGUACUUGCAUCUUCUAUAUUCUAGGUUAGUGUUUUCUUUAGAACAAGCUGCCCCACUCGGUCGUACUUCUCCAUAAAUUUACAUUCCCAGUCUAGCAGAAUUUGAAGUUCAGCAUCACCAAGGCCUUCAAGGUUUCCAUUAAUAUCUUCAGGUUUGAAUGAUAACAGAGCCAAGGCUCGGCUUGCAUCUCUUCCAGCAAACAUUGCAUAUGAACUACCAGGACCAUAGAACAUCUUGGAGGUAGAGACGUCGUAGAUCUUCCCUCUAAUAGCCAUCAGCAAAGGUUUUUCUGAGUCAGAACCAUUAUAAGCCCUAAGUUCCUCUUCCGUCAUGUCGCCGAGAUUGAGAGACUGUUUUUUGACAGGGACAAAGUCAUCAGGAGAGAGGAACAUGGAACAAACCACUUUGUAAGUCACCAGCAUCAUCGCUAAAAUGGUGAAGAACGCCGUCGCCGAUAACCCUGUGUACUCGAAGAUGAUCUCGGUCGUCGUUGCCCAUACCGUCGCCAUUAGUUUGGUGGAGAAAACGGUCAAGGACUUGUAGUUGGUGAUCGUUUCUCCAAGAUGCUACCCGCAACAGCUAGAGAUGAGAAAAAAAAGGUUUAAA